UAUAGUUACUAGGAACCCAAAAGCAAUGAUCCGAUUAUACAGUACAGGCGCAUUUUAUUUUGCUCUGGCUUACCCUGGUUCUAAUCUUCUUUUAAUUGCCCAACUCUUCUCAGUGACUCAUGUUUAUCAAGCUUUUCAUGGUGGUGAGGAAGCUGCAAUUUCCUCUUCUCUACCUUUGGCGAAACGAAGUGUUUGGGCGGCCUCUUACCUGAGUCAUUGCUUUAUGUACUGGAACGUAGCGGCCCAGUUGCUUUUGCCGCAGCAAUGGUUUCUGAUUCAGACACUCCUGAGAUUAUUUGGACACACAAGAUGCGAGCAGAAAAUCUGAUCCGUCAGGUUCUUCAGCAUCUUGGUGAUUUCCCUCAGAAAUUGUCACAGCAUUGUCAUUCCGUAUAUGACUAUGCUCCAAUGCCACCAGUAACAUAUCCAGAGCUGAAAGAUGAAAUGUGGUGUCAUCGUUAUUACUCGAAACUUAUGUGAUGAAAUUAGAUUUCCUAAUUGGCUAUUGUUGAACAUGUUGAGUUUUUGCAAUCAUUGCUAGUAAUGUGAGAGAAGAGUUAACUCGAAGGCCAAUGGACCUUUCUGAAGAAGAAGCUUGCAAGAUACUAGAGAUUUCCAUUGAUGAAGUAUCCAGAGACGACGCCCCUAAGAAACCAAGUUUUGAGUCAGUUGAGGAGAUACCUAAUAUAUCAAAGCAGAUUGAGUAUAUUGAUGAGGAAAAGCUCAAGAGACAGUAUAGGAAACUUGCAAUGAAGUAUCAUCCA